rnacentral:lncRNA from 1 species
UUUUUUUUUUUGCUUAAGACCUUUUAAGCUGGGUUUCUAACAUUUACACUUGAAAAAGUCCUGGCUCUUUUACUCCCCUAAACCCACCAGAGGAGACAGAAGGAACUCACCACUUCCCCUCCUUGUCUCUACCUAGGGACCCUGGUGGCUUUUCUUUUGCAGGAACGUGGGCUACCCAUUUUUCUCCGCAGCAGUUCAGAAGCCCUUGGUCUUUCACCCUCUGACUGUUCUUGACCUUAGUGACCGUGAUCAUCCUCCAUCGCUGACUCUGUCUCCUCUUCCCCCAACAGGCACUUCCCCUUGCCCAGCUGGAGGUAUGUUCCCGCCUACCCAUGUCAUUCCAGACAUGUUCACCUGGCCGCCAUGACCCUAACGGCAUCAAAGGAGCAACCAAGAGUUCAGCAAGUUCCUGGGACAGAAGAGAAAGAAGGGAGUUUCUGGCAUCUUGGAGAUGCUCACCAUUGCACUGGAAAGGAGCCUUGCAGAUAAGUAUUCAAACUUACCAGCCCAUAGCCUACCAGCCUGCCCUCUGCUGGUCUGUGCAGGAAAGUACAAUAUCCCAGAAUUCUCAAGGGGAAGAGAAAUCCAUGCAGCAGCUCAUUCACUUUCCCACCUCUACGCCACAAACAAAGCUUGUCCCUGAUUUACGGGGCCCCCAGAAAUAAUUUUCCUACCCCUUUUGGCAUCAAGGUUAGUAUUCUAUAAACUCCACCAUCAGGAGCUUCUGAGCUGAGUUUAAUGACCUUACCUUGAGCACCUGUAGAUGUGGAGUCAGAAGACUCCUUGAGAUGGGCUGGCCCUUUCCUCCUGAGUUCUGAUCCUCUAUCAUCAUAUUGAUACAGCUUGGCUAGGGCUCUUUUGCCUGGCAGUCAAGCAGGGACUUCAGCACUGUGGCCCCAGGGCACAUACUUCACAGGGUGAGGGUCCAAGUACAUCUCUAGCCCUGGACCCAUGCCUCAAGCUGAGGUACUGGCAGCAAGCUCAGAAAACAUACUGAGAGGGCCCCUGACUCUCCUGGCCCAGGUCUGCCAGUUGAUGACGAUGGCUUAGCCAUCACGAAAAGCAAAACCUGGGAGAUGGUCUUUGGUUAGGAUUCGUGGGCAUUCUCUGGGCUUCUCCAGACUUGUGACAUGGGGACUGCCUGCCAUCGGGUCCCCAAGCUUUUCCUGAUGCCUCAGAAGAGAAAGUGGAAGAGGAGGGCGGGUGCGGGAAGAUACCUGAGGUUGGGCAGAAGGGCCCCUUCUACGUCCCAUCCACUGCCUCCAGCUACAGGUUAUGACUGUACGCUUUGGGUGGAAGUCUGGACUGGAAAGGCCCUGCCUCCCAGAGAGACUUCCCACGGCAGCACGGGAGGCAGAGCUGGGAUUGGACUCUGGGUCCCCAGCUCUUGUCUGAUGCUCUCGUUCAAGCUGUCAUCCAGCUGAGUUUGCCUUGCUGUCUCUUGGGUGGGUCACGUUCUACCAUCGAUGGGGACAGGGAACCAAGGAUGUUCUGGGGCAGGAGGAAGGGUGGUGGGGGCAGAGUGCCUGGGCCCACCCUCCCUUGCUCCCAGGCCUUCCUGUUAGUAGAAAGUUCUGGCCUGGGCUGGCUGGGGAGGGGGCCUGGGUAUGGUUUUCUCCUGCGCUGUGUUUGGAUCCUUUGUCUUCCAGGAUGGGCCUCUGGGGUCUGCGUGGGGUAGGAGCCUGGGCUGCCAGCAUUUUGGCUGGGUGCUGUCAGCACAAGUAUGGACCACGUGACCUCUCCAGGAUGAUGCUGAGGAACCAGAGGUCAAGACGAGGUGUGGUCCCGCCCUCUCAGAUCUUCAUGCUUCUUGGCCCCGCAGCAUCUCCAGGACACCCAGUCUGGUCUUCUGGAGAGCCUGGGUGACCCUGGGCACAGUGACACAGGGAGCAGCCGCCGGUGGUUUUCUGGAUAAGACCUCACCUUUCCUGACUCCUGGGAUGGAGAAUCUCCUGGACAAAGGCCCCUCCUGGUUGGUGCCCAGCCAAAGACAGGACCCAGCUCUGGAGGACAGCUCAAGGGGUGGGAGGAGGGCUGGCAGCUGGCCGCCCCCUCUGCUUCUCUCUGGCCCCAUCUGCCAGGCCCUCCUCCCCAGGCCUGGAGGCCCCUCCUGACCCCCCGUGGACUUGGUUUCUCCUUGCAGCCCUGCCAGCCAUCAGGCAGAGCUCCGCCUGGGCCAGGACAGGGGCAGGAACGUGGGAUGGGAGUCGGGUAGGAGCUGCAAGUGGGAGGCAGGUCGAUGCAGCCCUGGGGUGCCGUUGGCUGGAGUCUGUCUUGCGCUGUGUGAGUGAUUCUCAUUUUUGUGGGGGAUUCUUGGAUGGGGCCUUUUGGUGCUUCUUUUCUACCUGACAGUCAAAGGGAGAAGGCAGGAUGGGCCUGGGGGUGGGGGGUGGCUGGACCUCUUGCUGGGGUGUGGAGCUCUGGGAGGGGCAGUGAUCCUGAAAGGAGAGCAGUUCUGAGAGAUGAGAGACCCUGCCUGGGGGAGGGUCUUGCAGAAGGAGCCAGACACUGGGCCUUGGUCCUGCCAUCCAAAGGGAAUGUUCUGGAAUUGGCCUCACCUCAAGGCUUGAGAGGUCACCCCAGCUCCAUCUCAGACCCCUGCUCCUUGUCACAAUCCUGUCCUUGGGGAGCAGAGACAGUUAGGGCGGGCUCCACACGCAGGCAGCUUCCCCUGUCACAGAGCUACACCCUCGCUUCCGUGCCCCAUCCCCAUUCUCGCCUCUUCCAGCCCCUCAAGGGUGGCCCGUCCCAGGACUUGCAGGACAACAGGCUUCCUCAGGCAAACUUAAGAGCCUGAUGUCCUUUUCCCAGGGUGGUGAGGGACCUGUGUUAGUCUGCCUGGGCUGCUGUAACAGAAUACUGUGAUUCAGUGGCUAGAACAGCAGAAAUGUAUUUUCUCAGGUUCUAGAGGCUGCAAGUCCCAGAUCAGGGUGCUAGAGAUGGUUUGUCCUGAGGCCUCUCUCCUUGGCUUGCAGAUAGAAACUUCUUGCUCUGUUCGCACAUGGCCUUUUCUCUGUGCAUACACAGGGUGAGAAGGCGAGAGAGAAAGAGAGGGAGAGAGAGAGAGAAAGAGAGGGAGAAAGCAAGGGUGAAGGAGAAAGCGAGGGUAAGAGAGAAAGGGAGAGAGAGAGAAAUAAGGGAGGGAGGAGGAGAAAUAGAUGACUGAAGUCUCUUCCAUUUCCGAUAAGGGCACCAGUCCUGUGGGGUUAGGGCCUCAUUCUUAUGACCUCAUUUAGCUGUAAUGACCUAUGUUAAAGCCUAUCUCCAAAUACAGUCACCUUAGGGGU